rnacentral:tmRNA from 1 species
GGGACCGACCUGGCUUCGACGUGGGUGCGGAGUCGGCGCGGGGCAUGCCGAGCACCAGUUCGCUCGUAAAUCCACUGGAAACGAAGUAACUGCGAACGACGAACGUUUCGCCCUCGCCGCUUAAACACCGGUGAGCCUCUCAACGGUUGGCCGAUGGGCCGGGCGCAAGCCGCAAGGCAAGUGCUGAGAGGUCAUUCACAUCGGCUGGGUGCCGGCCAUGUCGCUGGGCAGGCACCGAGAUCCAGCGAAUCGGGGCCACGGUAGCGUGCUGCUGCGCGACCGGGGCUCCUAAAACCAAAUCAGACAGCUACGCAUGUAGAACCGUCCGGCGAUGGCUUGCGGACGGGGGUUCGAUUCCCCCCGGUUCCACCA